AUUGAACGCUGGCGGCAGGCUUUACACAUGCCAGUCGAACGAGUGGCGGACGGGUGAGUAAUGCUUGGGAAUCUACCUUAUGGAGGGGGAUAACUACGGGAAACUGUAGCUAAUACCGCUUACCAUCGGAUGUGCCCAAGUGGGAUUAGGUAGUUGGUGGGGUAACCGCUCACCAAGCCGACGAUCUCUAGCUGGUCUGAGAGGAUGACCAGCCACACUGGAACUGAGACACGGCCCAGACUCCGACGGGAGGCAGCAGUGGGGAAUAUUGCACAAUGGGGGCAACCUGACGCAGCCAUGCCGCGUGAAUGAAGAAGGCCUUCGGGUUGUAAAGUACUUUCGGUGGCGAGGCGUUAACCGCAGAAGAAGCACCGGCUAAAUCCGUGCCAGCAGCCGCGGUAAUUC
rnacentral:rRNA from 1 species